rnacentral:rRNA from 1 species
UAAGAAGGGUGCAAACGUUAUUCGGAAUCACUGGGCGUAAAGGGUGCGUAGACGGUAUGUUAAGUUCGUUGUUAAAGGCUUCGGCCUAACCGGAGUUCUGCAAUGAAAACUGGCAUGCUAGAGGGUGAGAGAGAGAAGUGGAAUUCCUGGAGUAGCGGUAAAAUGCGUGGAUCUCAGGAGGAACACCGAUGGCGAAGGCAGCUUCUUGGCUCAUUCCUGACGUUGAGGCACGAAAGCGUGGGGAGCAAACAGG